UUGGAGAUCUCUCGUAAAGUAUUUACAUUUUUUGUAAAGCAGGAUUUAUAUUACCAGGCUGAUUCUUCUUAUAGACUCUUGGUUAAUGCCUUAAAGAAUAGACUAUAUUUUGAGCUAUAGAUGCUCUUGGGCUGUAGUAUAGGAAUGACACCUAUUCUUUAAUGUUGUGUAGGAGGAGGAUAUUGAACCAUGGAAGUGUGCCUGAAGUGAUAAUACUGCAAAAGGAAUCCAUGAGAUGUGGUUGGUUAGCUAAAUGCUGAGUGAUACUGUAAUCCUUUGCUUGUGUGAUUUGUGAAAUGGUGUUGAAAAAGAUCUCAUGAACCCUGGGGCUCGGCAGACUGUUGUUGCUGCUCCCACAACUGGAGCUAUGAGCAAGAUGGAGCAUUUGUCUGGAAGAUGAUGUUGUUAUGCUCCCCAUGAAAGCUGGUAUGUGGAGGUAGUAGCUUAUCCAAUCUGGAAGUGUACCAGAUACAGAACACAUGGUGUCCUGUUAGGCCAUUCUUC